rnacentral:lncRNA from 1 species
AGUGCCUGCUGAAUACAACAGGUGUAGUAGACCUUAGUUUCUGCUGAAUACAACAGGUGUAGUAGACCUUAGUGUCUGCUGAAUACAACAGGUAUAGUAGACCUUAGUGUACUGCUAAUACAACAGGUGUAGUAGACCUUAGUGUCCUGCUGAAUACAACAGGUGUAGUAGACCUUAGUGUCCUGCUGAAUACAACAGGUGUAGUAGACCUUAGUGUACUGCUGAAUACAACAGGUGUAGUAGACCUUAGUGUACUCGAAUACAACAGUGUAUGACCUUAGUGUCCGCGAAUACAACGUAUGUAACCU